rnacentral:sRNA from 1 species
GUGCGCGCGCGGGGCUGACUGCGGGAGCCCUGGCUGGGAAGCGGCUAGGGCACCCGGGCAAGCAGCAGAACCCGCGGCCGGCUGAGUCCUCUCCAGCCGCGAGAGGCGGGCUCCAGCCGCGGCUCGCGCGCUCGCUCUGAGCCCCCGCGCCCAGGUGGGAUGGAAGAAGCCUGUCAGGUGCAGACAACUAAGCGAGGGGAUCCUCAUGAGUUAAGAAACAUAUUUCUACAGUAUGCCAGUACUGAGGUUGAUGGAGAGCAUUACAUGACCCCAGAAGACUUUGUUCAGCGCUAUCUUGGACUGUAUAAUGAUCCAAAUAGUAACCCAAAGAUCGUGCAGCUCUUGGCAGGAGUAGCUGAUCAAACCAAGGAUGGGUUGAUCUCCUAUCAAGAGUUUUUGGCAUUUGAAUCUGUUUUAUGUGCUCCAGAUUCCAUGUUCAUAGUGGCUUUCCAGUUGUUUGACAAGAGUGGAAAUGGAGAGGUGACAUUUGAAAAUGUCAAAGAAAUUUUUGGACAGACUAUUAUUCAUCAUCAUAUCCCUUUUAACUGGGAUUGUGAAUUUAUCCGACUGCAUUUUGGGCAUAACCGGAAGAAGCAUCUUAACUACACAGAAUUCACGCAGUUUCUCCAG